UGAGCAAUCUGCCCUUCUCAUCGGAAUAAGCGUUGGAAACGACGUCUAAUGCCGAAUACGACCUCCUUUCGCAUGAUCGGAGGUGGCAAGCUCCGGCGGAGAAGGAUGAGCUCGCGGCCUAUCAGCUAGUUGGUGUGGCUAAUGGCCCACCAAGGCGACGACGGGUAGCCGGCCUGAGAGGGUGACCGGCCACACUGGGACUGAGACACGGCCCAGACCUNUACCGGGGAGG
rnacentral:rRNA from 1 species